CGGUUCGCCGUGUGGAUAAUAGGGAACGCGGUGAGAUGCUGCCAAUUGGCACUCAAUUCCGCGACUGCCCCCGCAACUGUGAGCGGCGAGCGUUGUUGGCAUAUACCACUGAUGCAGAUGUGCAUUGGGAAGGUCCGACAGUGCUUUGACCCGCAAGUCAGGAGACCUGCCAAAGUG
rnacentral:ncRNA from 1 species